CAGCUUGCUGGGUGGAUUAGUGGCGAACGGGUGAGUAAUACGUGAGUAACCUGCCUUUAACUCUGGGAUAAGCCUUGGAAACGAGGUCUAAUACCGGAUACGACCAGUUCCCGCAUGGGAUGCUGGUGGAAAGGGUUUGUACUGGUUUUAGAUGGGCUCACGGCCUAUCAGCUUGUUGGUGAGGUAACGGCUCACCAAGGCGACGACGGGUAGCCGGCCUGAGAGGGUGACCGGCCACACUGGGACUGAGACACGGCCCAGACUCCUACGGGAGGCAGCAGUGGGGAAUAUUGCACAAUGGGCGCAAGCCUGAUGCAGCGACGCCGCGUGAGGGAUGAAUGCCUUCGGGUUGUAAACCUCUUUCAGCAGGGAAGAAGCGAAAGUGACGGUACCUGCAGAAGAAGCGCCGGCUAACUACGUGCCAGCAGCCGCGGUAAUACGUAGGGCGCGAGCGUUGUCCGGAAUUAUUGGGCGUAAAGAGCUUGUAGGCGGUUUGUCGCGUCUGCUGUGAAAGCCCGGGGCUUAACCCCGGGUUUGCAGUGGGUACGGGCUAACUAGAGUGCAGUAGGGGAGACUGGAAUUCCUGGUGUAGCGGUGAAAUGCGCAGAUAUCAGGAGGAACACCAAUGGCGAAGGCAGGUCUCUGGGCUGUAACUGACGCUGAGAAGCGAAAGCAUGGGGAGCAAACAGGAUUAGAUACCCUGGUAGUCCAUGCCGUAAACGUUGGGCACUAGGUGUGGGGGACAUUCCACGUUUUCCGCGCCGUAGCUAACGCAUUAAGUGCCCCGCCUGGGGAGUACGGCCGCAAGGCUAAAACUCAAAGAAAUUGACGGGGGCCCGCACAAGCGGCGGAGCAUGCGGAUUAAUUCGAUGCAACGCGAAGAACCUUACCAAGGCUUGACAUAUACUGGACCGC
rnacentral:rRNA from 1 species